AAAGCUUUGUAAUGCAGUAACUUCAUGAACAAUAUAUAACAUAGAUGUGCAUAGACGUUCAUGUGAAAAGUUUUGAGCAAUGCGGUAGCGAAGUCUGUGGAGAUGGGUAUCAUUGUUGUGAAAACAACUUAGAAUGCUGGAUUUAGUUAUGAUUUCACAAGGAUAUCAACUACAGUAUAAUCAACUACAGCCGUAUAACCAGCAGCAACCAACAACAGCCACUACAAUUAUUAGCUUCUAGCCAGCCAAUGCAUGGCCAGUUCUCUACGCCAUACGGUUACAGCGGUUAGCAGUCAACCAAUGUGGAGAAACCUGACAAGUUCGACUCCAUGAACAGGCUCAAUCAAACCGAGCCUGCAACAUUUUCAAUUUUGUUGUGUUGGACUUUCUUUAGGGAUUCUGUUUUUCUCUAUUCUAUUCAGUAGUGACCCUUGUAGCAACUUAUAAAAACCCAAAGAAACUAAUAAAUGUAAAUGAAUGUAAAUAAUUUACAAUAUUUUUCUCAUACAUUAAUUUUUUGAAUAACCUUUUGUGUUGUACAUUCUGAUUUAUUUACACUUUUUUAUCAUUAAUAUUUUGCUGAUUAAUUUAAUUUUGCUUUAAAGUUUGUUUGAUUAACACUUAAAAAACUAUAUUGUAUUGUUUUAUGACGACAGAUGAUUUUCCAUUGCAUUUUAGUAGUUAACCUGUUUGUCUCUUUUCUUUUC